rnacentral:tRNA from 1 species
AGUAAGGUCAGCUAAUUAAGCUUCUGGGCCCAUACCCCAGCCAUGUUGGUUAAAAUCCUUCCUUUACUA